rnacentral:misc_RNA from 1 species
AAGCUGCGAACGUUUGCCCGAAGAUGAUCUCCAAAUGAAAGGAUUAAUAUACUGCUCGUAAUUAAAAAUUACGAUUACGUUGAGUGCUGUUUUUGUUCUUCCACAAAAUGAUGGAGAAUCGAAUAGAAAAGAAAAAAAAAAGAAAAGUGGGAGCCAUGUAUCCCACCUUUUAUUAACAUACAAGGUGUAGUAGUCGUACGUGGUAGGGAGGGGGCUGUCGUAAUACGCGUUGAAACAACACUCGAGCUUCUUCAAAUGUGGAUUCAUUUGCGUCACGCACGUAAGCGCUUCGCAGGUAGUUUAGUUUUGCGUUAGUAAUCGCGCGCGAGUGCCGUACAGUAUCGAGUGCGAGCUGCAACGUGGUUUCGAGAUCAAACGCGCACAUUUCAAAGAUCAAUCUAUAUAUUUCUAAACGCUCUCAGGCGAUAUAUCUCACGAUACAUUUACAUUAAUAAAAUGCUUGAAAUCACGUUGACGUGAAGACUUGUCUCGCGCACCUGUACUCGUGCUUUAUUACCGAGCGUAUUUACCAUACCCCCCCCCCCCCGGGUCGAAUAUAUCCUUUAAAUUUCAAAUAAACAGCUCGUUGAGCUGUUCGAUCUACGUAAUUCGUUUUACAGUUUAAAGUUAAUCGACUGAAAGCGAAGAAAAUCGCAAGUGAACUGGCAAUGAAGAGGUAACAUGUGUGUUACAAUCUUUGUUUCAAAAGGUCCAAGUACUUUGCGCUCAGCCACACACCUGCGGACCGAGUUAACGAAAAAAUGUUCAUAUUCGCAUUACUUUGUUAUUGUGUAAUUACUAUUCACGGGUUCGUCUUUCAAGAAGCUUUGGAGUGCGCUAGGUGCCUGACGCUAUGUCGAAAUGUGAGUAAGAUCAGGGGCAGCAUUUCACUUGUCGUAAUGCGUCGUACGAUGCAUAUUUUCGCUCGAAUUAAAUAAGGAUGUGAAUCGGAAACCGUAUUAUGCUCCGUCUUUGUCAUCUGAUGUUUCACACGCUUUUCACGCUUGAUAAUUUGAGUCACAUCCGUGACUCGUGGACUUCGCAUGAAAGUUUGCAAUGUUUUAGUUUACACUAUGAGAUCUACUUUCAAAGAUAUAUAUCGGCAAGUGCAACGUGUAACGUAAAGUGAUUCUAUGUCGACAAGAUAAUAACGCUGUAAAAAAAUUCGGAGGACUUUGCAGCGAUAGCGAGCAUAAAAUUCGAUACAUGUCACGGCGAUAUCGAGAUAGGAACGCCAGAGGUAUGACACCGAACAGGUAUAUAUAUUUAACAAAUGAACCGUGUCGAGGGAGGUAUAUUCGUACGUAUAUCGUAUGUAUAUCUUUCGCGUCUCUCUCGACUCGUUCAACAAAACAAGUUGCGGUAUAAAAUAAGAAUGCGAGACAACUGUCUCGUUAUCUAAAUGUUAUCUAAAGAACACACGACAAUGUGACGGUGUUGAAGAAAAGGAAUGUUUUUCUUUUUUUUUAUAUAUAUAUAUAUAUACUUUACACUCCAAGCCAAACGACACUCAAGUAUGUAUCUUUCCGAGAGAGUGACUCGGUGGCUCUUGACGGACCUCGCUCGACGAAAUUCACCCAUGUUGAAACUAUGUCUGUUUUAUAGAGACACGAAAUAAACAUACAUGUUCAACGACACUGGACACAUUUUAGAUCUUCGUUUCGACAUCUGUCAACACCUGUGUCAAUAUCCCUCAAACAUAGCUACACGCGCGCCGCAUUCGACUCCGCUGCUGCAAAAGCAUCGAUGUUGCAUACUUCACGUUCUCUUCCGACGUGAAUCGUGCCGGAAUAAUUGUCCACUGAUUGCGGGCGAAUUUGAGCCUUAUCCGAGAAUAAACGAGGAGGCUGGCGCAAAUGUUAGUCUGCAUUGCAAGGGAACGAAUGUGCUUAUGAUCAAACACAAUCCUGGAAUCUAUGUUAUCGAGCAAAGCGCUUCUAACGACACUUGGGACGCGACGGUAGUGGUAAAUAGCAUCGACGGAUUAUCGACAUUUUUUAACUUGACGGCGAGCACGUUUUAUCGUUACCGUUUGCACAGAAUAACACAGCACGGAGUAUCAUUAGCCGAGACGUCUAAUUGGUUCUCAACUUAUGCAGCUGAUCAUCAACCACGCGCAGUCGAACACGUAUCACUGCUAAAGAUCGAAGUAGAUGAUAAAAAUGCUUGCAAACUACGAGCAGAAAUUGUUUUUAAACCUGCCGAAGAUCGAAGCUGUAAUUACAACGUGUUAUCUUGGUCGGGGGAGCAUAACUUGGUCCAUUUUGAUAUAGAAAAGAUUUUAGAUUUCCGCUUCUUUCUCAGACACUUACAGUACGACCAGAAUAACACCGUGGCGAUUGUGUCCGGCAACGAUGACUUCUCCAAGAUCAGUAACACGACGACAUUCACUUUUCUCACGCCAUCAUGCUUGGAGAUUCACAAUAACCUGAGUAUCUGCGCGCCGGAAGUGGUAAAAGGCCUGCGAGCAGUGCAUAUUAAAAGGCGCAAAGGAUCGUACGAUAUCAUAGUCAGCUGGAAUAAACCCGCCUUGCAACCGGACAAUUACACGUUACAAAUCGAUUCGUUUCUAUUCGAGCCACGUCUAUUGAUUGUACCUGGAAACGCGGUUGAGGCUCUCUUCUUGGAUGUCGAUGUAGGGCCGCGGUAUGAUGUUGGUAUCGUGGCGGAAUCACCGGGCGGUGUGAGCUCGCUGUCAAGUAUAACGGAGAAUAUUGACGAGGAAGUAGCAAUUGUGGAGCUAUCCUAUCGCGAGAUUAUUGUGGCAUUACCGACGUUGAUGAUUAUCGCGGUGGUGUUCGGGGCGAUUUGUGUACAGCGUCGUAACAAGAAGAUUGAGCAAACUAAUAUGGAAUAUAUGCAUUUCGAGGACUCCACAGACUUCCUGAAGAAGCCUUUGAGGCGAGAUUACGCGAUCGAGAGUGGCGAUACUCUUCUGCUGCGUGACAAGUUCGAGAUCAGUCCGCAACAACUGAAGUUAAAGGAUGUACUGGGCAGUGGAGCGUACGGUAUCGUCAGAUUUGCCAGCUUGCAGGAUGAAUUCGGUGCUGUUACUGAUGUAGCUGUGAAAAUGAUGAAAGAUGAUCCGACGGUGGAGGAUAUAAAGAGUUUUCAUCAAGAGAUCUCAAUGAUGAAGUCGGCCGGUCAGCACCCGAAUAUAGUGUCUUUGAUUGGGUAUUGCACUUUGUACGAUAAACCAGUACUAGUAGUGGAGUAUUGCAGCAAGGGAGACUUGCAGACGUAUCUAAGAACGAUUUGGCAGAAUUUAGUGAAUGCCGUAUUCGAGCGUAGAACGCGACUGAAAUUCGUCCCGGUGACUUUCGUCAAUAAAGGCGCGGAUCAAGGAAAAAACAGUCCUUAUUGCAACAAAGUACGAACAAUCGCCAAUCGUUUGUACGAUAUUCAACAAGACGUGAUAAAAUACACGGAAAACGUCACGUGUGCGGAUUUGUUGAGUUUUGCCAGGCAAGUGGCUACAGGAAUGUGCACCGUGACUUGGCUGCUCGCAAUGUAUUGGUACGACCGGACAGAGUGGUGAAAAUUUCAGAUUUUGGCCUCAGUCGUGAUAUCUAUCAAGAGAAUGUUUAUCGAAAGAAGGGAAAUGGUAAAUUACCGUUAAAAUGGAUGGCAAUCGAGGCUUUAACGCAUCAAAUAUACACUACUUAUAGCGAUGUAUGGGCCUUUGGCAUUCUGUUGUGGGAAAUCGUCACUUUAGGCGCAAUGCCGUAUCCCGGUACUCCUACAAAUAGAAUUUUGCAUCUUCUCAAGUCGGGGUACCGCAUGGAAAAACCGCCAAACUGUAGCAGAGA